GGCAUCUCUCCCUCCCUGCUCAGGCGCCUCACUGUGCUGUGAGUGUGUUCCUAUUUACAUGCGCAGGUUCCCCGCUGGUGGGACCCGGGCGGGCAGACAGACCAUCCAUCAUCCAUCUUCCUCCCCGCUGAGCCCUGCAUCCAUCGCAGAUACCAUGGCCGGUGGGGCAGCACCUGCGAGACAGCCUGCAGCUUCCCUCUGCUCUCCUUGCCACGCCUCACAGGCUGGUGGUGCCCUUGAGAGCCACUGCGUUCUCCAAGGCCAAACCCAGAAAGUUAUAAUGGGUCAUGUAGUGUAUAUAUGAAACAGACCCAUUGUGUUCAAGACAUGUGAGCCCUAAGCAAUGUGAUUCCAGUGAUAGGCUAUGUCCAUUUUGCAGAUGGGGAAAUUGAGAUGAAACGGACUAGCACCAGGAGGAGAGCCAUCAAUACUCAGAUAAUAGAAGCUAAAAGGCUGGGUGUCUUGGACAUCAGAAAACAGACAUAAAUAUCUCCAGACAUAAAAAUCUCCAGUUUUCAAGCCGUCUUGCAAAAAGUGUACUCAAGACAGGAUGAGAGAUUUCUUCUUACCCUGGCCACCACCCUGAAAACUAUAUUGAGCCAUUCUCAGUGGGAGGAGGGAACAUCCAUUAUGAGUUCUCUCUGGAUUGUAGGAACUCUCACCCUUUCUCUUAAACAAAUAUCAGCAACCACCAAAUCUGUAAUUGAGGUCAUUAAGAUGGGCUUUUUAAUGUUCAAAACAGGAACUGUUGAUUAUAUAGUUCUGAAGCCCUAAGUUAUUGUUGCAGAAAAUUCAUAGGGAACAAACAGCAUCAGUGUUCUUUUCCGACUCAUUAUAGGCAGUGUAAGGAGUAAAGGGGUCUAAAGGCACAGAAUACACAAGAAAUCCCAGUAAAGACCGUGAGUUCAGCCUAUGCUUCCUGGAGAACUGAUCGACCCCUUUCAGACCUGAGAUGAGUGAGUAAAGGGAUUAUGCUGACCUGGGAAGAUCUAACUCUUUGGUGUUGUAUCUGCUUAAAAUGCCUGGAAAUAAAAUUUAACCAACAAGUAAAGUUGUGUACUUCAGUAAUCUUCUGUCCACCACUAACAGUCAACUGCACACAAGAGGUAGUCAGGUAGAGAUGAGCAAGAUAGUCCUAGCAUGCAGCAUACCAGGACAUACAACAGAACAAAGUUAUCAAAACUCCAUCUGAUUUUCCUUUGAUGUUUGUGAAGAAUUCUUUAGAAUUUUCUUUCUGAUAAUCUCCAAGUCUUCCAUCACUUUCUAUGUUUUUUUUUAUGCAGUGACUUUUAACAUUUUGACUUUGCUUAAGAUGAAAUAUGUAUGUUUUAAAAGAA
rnacentral:lncRNA from 1 species